GACGAACGCUGGCGGCGUGCUUAACACAUGCAAGUCGAACGAAGAGCGAUGGAAGCUUGCUUCUAUCAAUCUUAGUGGCGAACGGGUGAGUAACGCGUAAUCAACCUGCCCUUCAGAGGGGGACAACAGUUGGAAACGACUGCUAAUACCGCAUACGAUCUAAUCUCGGCAUCGAGGAUAGAUGAAAGGUGGCCUCUACAUGUAAGCUAUCACUGAAGGAGGGGAUUGCGUCUGAUUAGCUAGUUGGAGGGGUAACGGCCCACCAAGGCGAUGAUCAGUAGCCGGUCUGAGAGGAUGAACGGCCACAUUGGGACUGAGACACGGCCCAGACUCCUACGGGAGGCAGCAGUGGGGAAUCUUCCGCAAUGGACGAAAGUCUGACGGAGCAACGCCGCGUGAGUGAUGACGGCCUUCGGGUUGUAAAGCUCUGUUAAUCGGGACGAAAGGUCUUCUUGCGAAUAGUUAGGAGAA
rnacentral:rRNA from 1 species